UAAAAAUUUGUAUGAUUCUAACUUCAAACUACAUUAAAUGAUAAAGUUAUGCUGCAUAUGUGUGCGUACUGAUAUAUAUUUGUACUUUUUUUACUUGCCAUUUGCCAGUUUUGAUUUCUGCUUCCUCAGUGCCAUUGGUAGGCAUACGAAAAAUUCAUUCGUUAGAUGUACAUCCGAUUCUAUCAGUGUUGAACAAUGAUCUAAGGACCCAGUUUCAAACCGCAGAACGGACAACCGGAAUGUUAUUUUUUCUCCUUUUCCGGAACUUGAAAUGUCAGGGCUGUUGUUUGUUCAGUGUUUUCCAGAAGCUUCUCGAUGCAGCUUGCACUUCGAGACUAAAUUCCAGCUACGGGAAAAUAAUGCAACGAGCGGUAUCAUUGAAGAUGGAGCUAGUCAUGGAAUCGCCUGGAUAUUGAUGAAUUUACAAGCAACAUAUGCAAUGCUGAUACA